CUCAUUUACGUGCCAACUCAUUCUGGAAGUUUACAACUUGGAGAGGAAUCCACGGAUACCUCACUGCAUGACACACGGGCACAUUGCUUUUGGGAAAGAAGCCAAAUUCACUGUGAACUGAAACUGUGUCGGGUUUGAUCGGGUGUGUGCGUGGUGGAUCUCUGCUGCUGUCUGAAAUCAGAGACAUGGCGACAAACAACACCAAAAACACCGAUGGACAAGUUGUGACGGAACUCAACGAGAUCACAACUAACGACAAACCCAAAGCAGAGGACGGCAUUUCAGAGAAAACGAAGAAAGACAUUCCAGACAGAGAAACUUGGGGUGGGAAAUUUGAUUUUCUCCUGUCAUGUGUGGGCUACGCCAUCGGACUGGGCAACGUGUGGAGAUUUCCUUAUCUGUGCGGGAAAAACGGC